rnacentral:rRNA from 1 species
GACAGGGGGUGCAAACGUUGUUCGGAAUUACUGGGCGUAAGGCGUGUGUAGGCGGCCAUGUAAGUCGGAUGUGAAAGCCCCGGGCUUAACCCGGGAAGUGCAUUCGAUACUGCGUGGCUUGAGUAUCGGAGAGGUUGGUGGAAUUCUCGGUGUAGAGGUGAAAUUCGUAGAUAUCGAGAGGAACACCGGUGGCGAAGGCGGCCAACUGGACGAAUACUGACGCUGAGGAGCGAAAGCGUGGGGAGCGAACAGG